CCUACGGGAGGCAGCAGUGGGGAAUUUUGGACAAUGGGCGAAAGCCUGAUCCAGCAAUGCCGCGUGUGGGAAGAAGGCCUUCGGGUUGUAAACCACUUUUGUACGGAACGAAACGGCUCGCUUUAAUACAGUGGGCUAAUGACGGUACCGUAAGAAUAAGCACCGGCUAACUACGUGCCAGCAGCCGCGGUAAUACGUAGGGUGCGAGCGUUAAUCGGAAUUACUGGGCGUAAAGCGUGCGCAGGCGGUUAUAUAAGACAGUUGUGAAAUCCCCGGGCUCAACCUGGGAAUUGCAUCUGUGACUGUAUAGCUAGAGUACGGUAGAGGGGGAUGGAAUUCCGCGUGUAGCAGUGAAAUGCGUAGAUAUGCGGAGGAACACCGAUGGCGAAGGCAAUCCCCUGGACCUGUACUGACGCUCAUGCACGAAAGCGUGGGGAGCAAACAGGAUUAGAUACCCUGGUAGUCCACGCCCUAAACCGAUGUCAACUGGUUGUUGGGUGCAUUAGUACUCAGUAACGAAGCUAACGCGUGAAGUUGACCGCCUGGGGAGUACGGCCGCAAGGUUGAACUCGAAAUGAAUUGACGG
rnacentral:rRNA from 1 species